rnacentral:rRNA from 1 species
CCAGACUCCUACGGGAGGCAGCAGUAGGGAAUCUUCCGCAAUGGGCGAAAGCCUGACGGAGCAACGCCGCGUGAGUGAUGAAGGUCUUCGGAUCGUAAAACUCUGUUAUUAGGGAAGAACAAAUGUGUAAGUAACUAUGCACGUCUUGACGGUACCUAAUCAGAAAGCCACGGCUAACUACGUGCCAGCAGCCGCGGUAAUACGUAGGUGGCAAGCGUUAUCCGGAAUUAUUGGGCGUAAAGCGCGCGUAGGCGGUUUUUUAAGUCUGAUGUGAAAGCCCACGGCUCAACCGUGGAGGGUCAUUGGAAACUGGAAAACUUGAGUGCAGAAGAGGAAAGUGGAAUUCCAUGUGUAGCGGUGAAAUGCGCAGAGAUAUGGAGGAACACCAGUGGCGAAGGCGACUUUCUGGUCUGUAACUGACGCUGAUGUGCGAAAGCGUGGGGAUCAAACAGGAUUAGAUACCCUGGUAGUCCACGCCGUAAACGAUGAGUGCUAAGUGUUAGGGGGUUUCCGCCCCUUAGUGCUGCAGCUAACGCAUUAAGCACUCCGCCUGGGGAGUACGACCGCAAGGUUGAAACUCAAAGGAAUUGACGGGGGCCCGCACAAG